GGGCAAGUGCUGUAAUUGGUAGCCAGGCAUGAUUCAGGAUCAUGUGCCAGCAAUGGCGUGGAGGUUCGAGUCCUCUCUUGCCCACCA
rnacentral:tRNA from 1 species